GACGGAGGAUGCAAGCGUUAUCCGGAAUGAUUGGGCGUAAAGCGUCCGCAGGUGGCAGUUCAAGUCUGCUGUCAAAGACCGGGGCUUAACUUCGGAAAGGCAGUGGAAACUGAACAGCUAGAGUAUGGUAGGGGCAGAGGGAAUUCCUGGUGUAGCGGUGAGAUGCGUAGAGAUCAGGAAGAACAUCGGUGGCGAAGGCGCUCUGCUGGACCAUAACUGACACUCAGGGACGAAAGCUAGGGGAGCGAAUGGG
rnacentral:rRNA from 1 species